rnacentral:rRNA from 1 species
AAUGAACGCUGGCGGCGCGCCUAAUACAUGCAAGUCGAGCGAGAAGACGUAGCAAUACGCUUGUAAAGCGGCGAACGGGUGAGGAAUACAUGGGUAACCUACCCUAGAGUGGGGAAUAACUAGCCGAAAGGUUAGCUAAUACCGCGUACGCUCCUUGGACUUCGGUUCAGGGAGGAAAGCGAUGCCGAGGGUAUCGCGCUCUUGGAUGGGCUCAUGUCCUAUCAGCUUGNGGUGAGGUAACGGCUCACCAAGGCUUCGACGGGUAGCUGGUCUGAGAGGACGAUCAGCCACACUGGCACUGCGACACGGGCCAGACUCCUACGGGAGGCAGCAGUAAGGAAUAUUGCGCAAUGGGCGAAAGCCUGACGCAGCGACGCCGCGUGGGGGA